AGUGAACGCUGGCGGUAGGCCUAACACAUGCAAGUCGAACGGCAGCACAGUAAGAGCUUGCUCUUACGGGUGGCGAGUGGCGGACGGGUGAGGAAUACAUCGGAAUCUACUUUUUCGUGGGGGAUAACGUAGGGAAACUUACGCUAAUACCGCAUACGACCUACGGGUGAAAGCAGGGGAUCUUCGGACCUUGCGCGAUUGAAUGAGCCGAUGUCGGAUUAGCUAGUUGGCGGGGUAAAGGCCCACCAAGGCGACGAUCCGUAGCUGGUAUGAGAGGAUGAGAGGCAACGUUGGGACUGAGAUACGGACCAGACUCCUGCGGGAGGCAGCAGUGGGGAAGAUUGCAUAAUGGUGGGAAGCCUGAUGAGGCAACGACGCGCGCCCGAUGACGGCUUUCGGGUUGUAAACCGCAUUCGCCUGUGACGAAGCGGGGGUGACGGUAAUGGGUAAAGAAGCGCCGGCUAACUACGUG
rnacentral:rRNA from 1 species